UACAGAGGGUGCGAGCGUUGUUCGGAAUUAUUGGGCGUAAAGGGCGCGUAGGCGGCGCCACAAGUCACCUGUGAAAACUCUGGGCUCAACCCAGAGCCUGCAGGCGAAACUGUGGUGCUGGAGUAUGGGAGAGGUGCGUGGAAUUCCCGGUGUAGCGGUGAAAUGCGUAGAUAUCGGAAGGAACACCAGUGGCGAAAGCGGCUCCCUGGUCCAGCACCGACGUUCAGGCACGAAAGCGUGGGGAGCAAAAGGG
rnacentral:rRNA from 1 species